AUAUCAAUAAGCGGAGGAAAAGAAACUAACGAGGAUUCCCUUAGUAACGGCGAGUGAAGCGGGAUGAGCUCAAAUUUGAAAUCUGGUGGCCUCUGGCCAUCCGAGUUGUAAUCUGGAGAAGCGUCUUCCGCGCCGGACCGUGUACAAGUCCCUUGGAACAGGGCGUCAUAGAGGGUGAGAAUCCCGUCUUUGACACGGACAGCCCGGGGCUCUGUGAUGCGCUCUCGAAGAGUCGAGUUGUUUGGGAAUGCAGCUCAAAGUGGGUGGUAAAUUCCAUCUAAAGCUAAAUAUUGGCGAAAGACCGAUAGCGAACAAGUACCGUGAGGGAAAGAUGAAAAGCACUUUGGAAAGAGAGUUAAACAGUACGUGAAAUUGUUGAAAGGGAAACGCUUGAAGUCAGUCGCGUCUCCCGGGACUCAGCCUUGCAUUACUGCUCGGUGCACUUCCCGGGGUUUGGACGGGCCAGCGUCGAUGUCGACCGUCGGAGAAAGGCUUGGGGGAAGGUGGCACCCUCUCUCGGGUGUGUUUAUAGCCCCCGGUCGUAUGCGACGGUUGGGAUCGAGGAUCGCAGCACGCCGCUCUCUUUGUGGCCGGGGUUCGCCCACGUUAACGUGCUUAGGACGCUGGCGUAAUGG
rnacentral:rRNA from 1 species